UACGAAGGGGGCUAGCGUUGUUCGGAAUUACUGGGCGUAAAGGGCGCGUAGGCGGACGAUUAAGUCAGGGGUGAAAUCCCAGGGCUCAACCCUGGAACUGCCUUUGAUACUGGCCGUCUGGAGUUCGGGAGAGGUGAGUGGAAUUCCGAGUGUAGAGGUGAAAUUCGUAGAUAUUCGGAGGAACACCAGAAGCGAAGGCGGCUCACUGGCCCGAGACUGACGCUGAGGCGCGAAAGCGUGGGGAGCAAACAGG
rnacentral:rRNA from 1 species